GCACAAGCGGUGGAGCAUGUGGCUUAAUUCGACGCAACGCGAAGAACCUUACCAGGGUUUGACAUGUAGGGAAAUCCCAUAGAGAUAUGGGGUCCGCAAGGGUCCUGCACAGGUGGUGCAUGGCUGUCGUCAGCUCGUGUCGUGAGAUGUUGGGUUAAGUCCCGCAACGAGCGCAACCCUCGUCCUAUGUUGCCACCAGGUAAUGCUGAGCACUCAUAGGAGACUGCCGGGGUCAACUCGGAGGAAGGUGGGGAUGACGUCAAGUCAUCAUGCCCCUUAUGUCCUGGGCUGCACACAUGCUACAAUGGCCGGUACAAAGGGCUGCGAUACCGCAAGGUGGAGCGAAUCCCAAAAAGCCGGUCUCAGUUCGGAUUGGGGUCUGCAACUCGACCCCAUGAAGUCGGAGUCGCUAGUAAUCGCAGAUCAGCAACGCUGCGGUGAAUACGUUCCCGGGC
rnacentral:rRNA from 1 species